AGAGUUUGAUCCUGGCUCAGAACGAACGCUGGCGGCGUGCCUAACACAUGCAAGUCGAGCGAGAAAGUCCGCAAGGAUGAGUAAAGCGGCGCACGGGUGCGUAACACGUGGGUAAUCUUCCUUGGAGCCCGGAAUAACUCCCCGAAAGGGGUGCUAAUGCCGGAUAAGCCCACGGGAACCUUGGUUCCUGAGGGAAAAGGUGGCCUCUGCACGCAAGCUAUCACUCCUAGAUGAGCCCGCGGCCCAUCAGCUAGUUGGCGGGGUAAUGGCCCACCAAGGCUACGACGGGUAGCUGGUCUGAGAGGACGAUCAGCCACACUGGAACUGAGACACGGUCCAGACUCCUACGGGAGGCAGCAGUGGGGAAUCUUGCGCAAUGGGCGAAAGCCUGACGCAGCAACGCCGCGUGUGUGAUGAAGGUCUUCGGAUCGUAAAGCACUGUCGGGAGGGACGAAUAAGGGCGGAGCUAACAUCUCCGUUCGAUGACGGUACCUCCAAAGGAAGCACCGGCUAACUCUGUGCCAGCAGCCGCGGUAAUACAGAGGGUGCUAGCGUUGUUCGGAAUUAUUGGGCGUAAAGCGCGUGUAGGCGGCCAUGCAAGUCGGGUGUGAAAGCCCUCAGCUUAACUGAGGAAGUGCGCCCGAAACUACUUGGCUUGAGUGCCGGAGAGGGUGGCGGAAUUCCCGGUGUAGAGGUGAAAUUCGUAGAUAUUGGGAAGAACACCGGUGGCGAAGGCGGCUCUCUGGACCGAUACUGACGCUGAGGCGCGAAAGCGUGGGGAGCAAACAGGAUUAGAUACCCUGGUAGUCCACGCUGUAAACGAUGUGUGCUAGACGUUGGGGAGCCUAGCUCUUCGGUGUCGCAGCUAACGCGGUAAGCACACCGCCUGGGGAGUACGGCCGCAAGGUAAAAACUCAAAGGAAUUGAUGG
rnacentral:rRNA from 1 species